AUUGAACGCUGGCGGCAGGCCUAACACAUGCAAGUCGAACGAGUGGCGGACGGGUGAGUAAUGUCUGGGAAACUGCCCGCUGGAGGGGGGUAACUACUGGAAACGGUAGCUAAUACCGCAUACCAUCGGAUGUGCCCAGGUGGUAUUAGCUUGUAGGUGAGGUAACGGCGUACCUAGGCGACGAUCCCUAGCUGGUCUGAGAGGAUGACCAGCCACACUGUAACUGAGAAACGGUCCAGACUCCUACGUGAGGCAGCAGUGGGGAAUAUUGCACAAUGGGCGCAAGCCUGAUGCAGCAAUGCCGCGUGUAGGAAGAAGGCCGUAGGGUUGUAAAGUACUUUCAGCGGGGAGGCGUUACCCGCAGAAGAAGCACCGGCGAACUCCGUGCCAGCAGCCGCGGUAAUAC
rnacentral:rRNA from 1 species